GCUGGGCAUGGUGGCGGGUGCCUGUAAUCCCAGCUACUUGGGAGGCUGAGGCAGAAGAAUCACUUGAGUUUUGGAGGUGGAGGUUGCAGUGAGCUGAGAUCCAGCCACUACACUCUAGCCUGGGCAACAGGGUGAGAUUCUGUCUCAA
ensembl:misc_RNA Metazoa_SRP Metazoan signal recognition particle RNA